GUCUAUGGCCAUACCACCCUGAGCGCGCCUGAUCUCGUCUGAUCGUGGAAGCUAAGCAGGUCGGGCCUGGUUAGUACUUGGAUGGGAGAGAGGAAAGUUGGGCCACACCAGAAGGGUGAGUAAGUCCGGAUAGGUC
rnacentral:rRNA from 1 species